GCAGCUCAGUGGUAGAGAAUCUGCUUUGCAUGCGGAAGGUCACAGGUUCAAUUCCUGGCAUCACCU